AUUGAACGCUGGCGGAAUGCUUUACACAUGCAAGUCGAACGGCAGCACGGGGGCGAACCCUGGUGGCGAGUGGCGAACGGGUGAGUAACACAUCGGAACGUGCCCAGUCGUGGGGGAUAACGUAGCGAAAGCUACGCUAAUACCGCAUACGAACUCUGGUUGAAAGCGGGGGACUCGCAAGGGCCUCGCGCGAUUGGAGCGGCCGAUGGCAGAUUAGGUAGUUGGUGGGGUAAAGGCCACCAAGCCGACGAUCUGUAGCUGGUCUGAGAGGACGACCAGCCACACUGGGACUGAGACACGGCCCCAGACUCCUACGGGAGGCAGCAGUGGGAAUUUUGGACAAUGGGCGCAAGCCUGAUCCAGCCAUUCCGCGUGCAGGAUGAAGGCCCUCGGGGUUGUAAACUGUCUUUUGUACGGAACGAAAGGUCCUUUCUAUACAGAGGCUCAUGACGGUACGUAAGAAU
rnacentral:rRNA from 1 species